CAGCGUCUCAGUCGUUCACAGUACGGCGUGGAGUAAGAUCCAAGUAGUGGUUGUUUGUGGUGUGUGGGCUGGAGACGAAAGCGAAAACUAUUGUCGUUGCGUAAAUGUCGCGAUUAAUAUGUGUGUGACAGACCAUUACUUUGACAACAUUGAAUGUUCGCCCUGCAGCACUGUUUGUGAUAAAGCAAAAGCGAGGGGGAGUCUGGACACAUGCCUCAAAUAUUGUAAAGAUUACUAUGACCGCAUGAACAUGAACAGAUCUCCUGAUGGAGCCAACCAAUCAAACUUGUAUGUGGAGGUCUUGGUUCCAAUACUAGUCAUUGCUAUCGUGGUGACUAUUGUGGUUAGUGGCAUUUUAAUUCGGCGGAGAAAGAAACGAUCACCACAGCCGCAACAACCCUUAGAGGAAACCAGGCUCACGAUCGAAGAGAACUGUGAUGCACCGAUUAAACCUCAAGGAGAUUCUGGGAUUGAUACCCGUCAAUCACAGGAUCUCAAUUCACGUCAACGCGAUGACCCACCAAGCAACCAUGUCGAUACUGGUUUAUCGGAGACAAUAGAUCCCAGAUAUCUAUAUCCAUAUUCAGAAAACCGUUCCGUUUGACUCUGGGUAAUACAGAAAUCGAAAGAAACAGGAAACCCUUUUAACCUAGAUCUGCAUCUAGUCAUUAUUGGGAGAGUACAGUAUAGAAAACUAUAUAUUAUUAUUAUAUCACAGUAUGAACGUUUCGUUAAGCAGUGGCAUAGUUAUGCAUUUAUUUUGUUAUCUUCCAGACAGCUUACACCAAAUUUGUGAUUAGGGACCUCUACAUAAGUGACAAAUUAUAUAUCUAUUGCAAUUAUUUUGAGCAAAAGUGUGGAUGCGUCUGUAUAUAUAUUAUCAGGCAAAGAACACUGCCUUUAGGCAACAUUGUGAAUGCAUCUUAUAGUUGUAUGAAAGGGGUUGCAUAUCAUUAUUUUAAGAUCUCAUUAAUACUAUAACAGUGAUGUGCGUAUCAGGGAAGUUUGCUCAACAUCAACGGCAGCACCAUAAUACCCCCUUUACCAUCUCUAAUGUACGAAUGAGAAUUUAUAUUUCAUCAACGGUUUCCUUGCAAAUGAAACUAUUCAUCCCAAGAAAAUACUUUUAUACGUGUAUCCGUUCACAUUUUGUUUGUGGACGCUAUCCGAUUUUGAUGAAACUUGACAUUUAUGUUUAUAACCCACAGAUCUCGAUCCCUGUCGAUAUUCAUGCAUAUUGGACUGUAACUUCCUGGAUUAAGGCCUCUGAUUUUACGAAAAAUCGCGUUUUUGUCUUGUGGAUCACAAUUUUCAUCCUAUUUUGAUAUAUGUUUAUGGCGGAUUAUGGCCACUGAUUGCAUGAAAAAUCGCCUUUUAGCAAAUGGACCCUUGUUCUCAGUCCAUCUCUUGCAAAAUGUGGCCGUAUCUCGCAUGCCAACCGCUUGUUUUUCUAAGAUAUAACAAUAUUCACACAUAAUUUAUGUUAUUUAUUUGGAAACGCUUGUUUUUGUUCUAUUUUACAAGUAUCAUGGUUUAGUUUAAGACUUAAACUUUUCAAACGGCAAAUUGCCGAAAUCUCGAGAAAGUGUUUAAUUUCAAUCAAAAGCUGUUAUACGUGAAUUUAAAACACUUAAAUAAGGCCACACAAAAUAAAUGUCUUGUUUCUCGGGCAACUGACAGCUGAAACUGUAGGGAGGGAGGGCGGUUUCUUUUUUUUUUUUUACUCAUUGAUGGUGCAAAAUAAAAUUUGGCUAUUGCUGAAAAUUGUUGGGGCGGGAGGGCGGUCUUUCUUUUUUUUUUUUUAAAUGAGAAAGUCAUUACUUGUUUACGUUUUUGCUUUCCGUUAUAUUCAACUUUAUUGUACAUACUUAAAACAUAAACCCAAAAUCAAGUCUACUAAAACACUGAGACUGAACACUGACUGAAAGGAAAAUAAUUUUCCAUAUUUAAUUCACAUAAUUGAAAUUGGUUUAAAAUAAAAUUCCAUACGACUAUGUAAUAGCCCUCCAUAAAGACAACAAUAUUUUUAAAAACUAAGCCUCUUUCACCAGGUGUAUCAAAAAUAAUAAUCAUGGUAAACAGUAUUUAAAACUAAAUCUAGUAUCGCCGGUUUAUUUAUAAUUAUUUACCGAAUUCCAACCAAUGCAUGUCACACCGUGUCAUCGGUAUUGGAGAUUGCCGGAAAUACUGUUUCUUGGGAUAUUCGGUGUGUUUCUCAGGAUAUUCGGUGUUCUAUCCGGUGUUUAUAUUGAAUGACUAUUUAAAUCUAACUAACAACUGGUCAGUAAAACCAUCAAAUCGGUAAUCCAAUUAUUAUUUUCCGGAUUAUCGAAACUACCGUAAAUGUGCUAAUAAUGACCCAGAUUCUAAGGUAUGCAUUAUGACGACUAUCGUCAUCGUAUCGUAUUCUUAGCUAUAAUUAAUUAACCUGUUCUACGGUUCAUUAUUUUAUCAAUAGGAUUUUCCAAACAAGGACCGACUGAAGCCGGCAAUAAUGAGCCGAUUACGAUCGAAUGAUGGAAAUAUUGUCGCCAAUGACUUUUAACACGAAUCAAAUUCUAGUUUAUCAGGGGAGGUAAUUAAUAUCACGUGAUACAAAAUGGAGGUUCUUUCGAUAUCAAUAAAAAAGGCAAAUCUGCCAAACUUCGCCAUUGUUCGGAUAAAAAAGACAGCAUGUUCAUCUGAAUCAGUUUUAAUACAUUUGAAUAGAUAUACAUGUAUGGCGGAUGUAGGUACAUGCGGGAUAUUUUUUUUACGACUUGCUUGUCGAUGUGCGGGCGGGCGUUACAUAUUUUUUUUUUUUCAUCAAGACUAAUAAAUAGACUGCACGCGCAACCAAUUUUGCGUGCGGGCGGUGCCCGAGAAACAAGUUAUUUUAUUUGUGUUGCCUAAUAUAUCGUAAUUUACUUUCGCUUUUCAUUUCUCAAUCAUUUAUGUUGAAGUCUUUUGUAACAUUUCAAUUAAGUUCAUUAUGCUGUAUGUAUAACAAUCUCAUUUCAUCCGUAUCGGAAAUGUUAUUUGUUGACUAUUCAUGUUAUGUGUAUUUUAAAAUGGUACUUAAGUCUUUCAAUAGAAGGUAAAUAACAGACAAAUGGUGUACAUUUUGUUGUAUAAAAGAGCAUUAGGUAACAAAGAAGAACACGGAUAAGAUUUAUAUUAGUGUAAAUCCCCGAGAUGCUUGUGAUCAAAUUUGCUUUAUUUACAUAAAAUAUUACAUUUCUCUUUCUAUUCAAAUUUAUAAGAAGUUUAUAGAGUAUGAAAAUGAUUUAAUUUAAAUUAAUAAAAAUUAAAUAUAAAAUAGGAAAUUAAAUAAAUAAAACAAAUGUAUUUCCCUAUUAUUUAGUCAUUAUAAACUUAUUAGCCACUUUUAUAAUUUAUGAAUACUAAAGAAUCUGUAGGUAGGUCUAAACCAUAGCCUUGGGUAGUGUCUUGUGUUUGGAACGAGGAAGGAUAUGCUUACAUCUUCUAGAUCAUAUGAAACCACCUCCCGGAUGAGGUCUGAAAGAUAAUACACUGUGUUUUUACAUUUGUUACACUUUUAAUUCAUCUCCCUAAUUAGAGGUAGUUCAGCGUAGUUCUAAACGUAGUUGGACCUUCAAGAAACCCAUGAGUUGACCGUGGUUAGCCCAAAAUGUUUCAGCGGUGAUCUUGGAUGCCAAGACUCUAUUGGGGCAGUAGUAUGAACGUACUUGACCGUAAUUGACCCUAAUCGACCGCAGUGUUUACCCUAGUUAGUCGUAGUGUUUACCGUAGUUGACCGUAGUAAAACGGCACCCUACUCCAACCUAGUUGACCGGUGAAAUACGUUCAAAUGAACUACAGUCAACUACGUGCGUCGCUGUAAGAUGUGACCGCGGCGUUGAAGCUCUAAAAUACGUCUGACUAUAUGGUCAUCUGCUACAGUGCUGAAAUUUAACAGAAAUGAUGACCCAUAACACACGACACGAUAAUAUGGACUACAAAUUACUUACAUCUAGCAACGUUACAAACAUUCAAAGAAAGAAUGACGACGUACAGUAAAGGUAAUAAACACUCACCAUAUUAAUAUUUGUGACCACGAGUUCCUCCUUUUACCAGUACCCCAAACAGCAAACCAUUAACACUAUUAAUUCUACAAUAGCACCCGGAAACUCCACCGCAAAGUCAACCAGAACUGACCCAUCACCCAUACUCGUCAGAAUACCAUUUAAGUUCAGUUCAUCAUACGACAUCAGAAUUCAGGAACAGUCAUAAACUUUUGCAGAGGCAUUACCCUAAAAUACUCGCUCCGAGUCGAUGGAAAAAUCAACACUACCAUCCAACAAAAACCAAAAGGAAGUUCCGUGUUUGACUUGACUUGAAGUCUGGCUUAACGUCCGCUUCCACUUAAGGUGAUGAAUGCCGCUUAACACCUACUGAAAAUAUCGAACCCGAGACGUUCCCAACUUUUGUUUAAACUGUUAUCUUUGUAUGCUCUGCUUGGUGGAUGCAAUGAUAGAAUAAAAUUUUAUCUUCCUGUCGAUAAGUCUGUUCCAUACUGUCUCGACUACCAUGACCAGAUCGUAAAUGUUUUUAAAAAAGGUUAUUCCCAAGUCUAUUUUCGUGACUAAUAUGGGCUUUCCCAUUGGUGUUAGUGGGCCGAUAAAGUUUUCCCCGGGAUUUUCCAGCGUGGUUUCUUCCCUGUCUGCAGUGUAGGACGUAGAGCCCGACCGGGAACUGUGCCUAGUCAUUCGGUGGGGCGAAAAACCAAGGUCCCGUAUACACGUUCGUGUGCACGUAAGAGAACCCAUGGUAAUCGAAAUUCAAUGAAGAGUAGGCAGAAACUCCGCUGUAUGGGCAUAAUCCCCCUUAUAGCUCAAUGUAUGGCUCGUUGCAAUUGAUAUUUAUAGAAAGUUUUCUUCCAGGACUAGUUUUGUACCGAUCGUCACGGAUACGUCGAGAAAAAAGAAUCUCGUGUAAAUGGCAUGUUUUAGUAGAUUUCGAAUAGUUUAGUACUUUCUUCAACGGUCUUAAAUAUUUUAGAAUCAGUAAUGUCUGAUCCGUGUGAUAAAUUUUAUUAUUUUACGAAUAUUGGCUGUUAUCACUGAGGAACCAUUUGUGACAAAGCAGAAGCCAGGGGAAGUUUAUAUACAUGUUUGAAAUACUGCACAGAAAGCAACACACGAACUGCAUGCAGUCCAUUAUUAAUACGAGACGCAUUUUAAAGUACACCACACAUCAUGGAGGCCAUUGUUGGAAGUAAAGUGGAAAAGGUCAACGGUGACGUCAUACCUGUCAAGUCAAUCUGUGGACCGAGAACCAUAAUUGGUAUAUUAUUUACAUGGUCAGAAAGCAUACUAUGCCAACAAUAUCUACCAAAAGUCAUUGAGUUCUACAAACGUUACCACAUUAAAAGUAACAAAAACGGAAACUUCCAAGUUAUUGCUCUUAUUGAUAACGAAAACACAGAAACGCAAUGGGAAGCGUACCGCAAAACGAUGCCAUGGCUGGCCGUUCCAUACAGUAACAUUCAAAAUCUGAAAAAGAGAUUCUCAAACGUUGAUGGUUACCCUACUCUACAAAUGUAUGAUUCUGUUAGUGGAAAACUUCUUUCUCCAGAUAUAAUGAGCAGAGUUCUACAAGGUUCUUACGACCCUUUCGAGAUGAAUGGCAAUGACUAUGUUGAUAAUCUAACUGAUAUACACACCCACAUUUAAUUUAUUAAGUUAUGAGCCAAUAAAACCCAAGUUGCAACCAUGUUUUUGAAUGUGAUUUAUUAGAUAUUUAUUUUAGAAUUUGUGUCUCAUCUUUAUUUUAUAUGUAAUUUGUUUUUACUAUCUUAUGUAUUUCUGUUUUAUAUAAUGUACAUUUCGUCUCACAUAAUUCUGAGUGAGUUAUUUGAUUACUUCGUAUAUUCUAUUAUUGAAUAAUAUGAUGUACUUAUAACUGGUGCGCGGUUAAUAAACUACUACAAUUACAUUCAAUGUGGACGUAUAUUGUCCGGUAGUCACCUGCGCUGGAUGACGAUGGCUAUAUUAACAAUAGAAUCAGUUAUAAUUAUUGUUAUUGAAUGAAAUAACUAGACUGUUAUACACGCCCACAUUUAAGAAAAUUAAAUUUGAAAUUGUCAUAAAUUCUAGUCAUCAUUUGAAAUCAUCGUAUGGUUAAUAAACAUUAUAUGUCUA